rnacentral:rRNA from 3 species
GGGUUCCACCUCUUCCCAUUCCGAACAGAGAAGUUAAGCCUCGUCACGCCGAUGGUACUGCGUAACAGUGGGAGAGUAGGUAGCCGCCGUUU